AAUGAAUAUACCGUCAAAAUAAUAUCGGUACUUAAUUGAAUGCCCUUAAUGCAUAACAUCGAUUUAUAUAUUCCGUAGAUUCUCAAAGAUUUACUCAAUAUUCACGUCCAAAAUGUUUAUAAUUUGAAAACAACACUGUGUCGCUCCAGCGCUCCUUCCUACCAUCGUCACGCCAUCGUGAUCUACGGCUUGAUAGCGCAUGCGCAUUUGGGUUGCUAAAGAAAAAAAUGGGUUUUCCGGGGGGAAAGAUCCUUCACACAACAUGAGAAGCGAAUGUUAUAAAAUUUACAAAAAUUUACAAUAACGACAACGAUUCCUCGAAAUUUUUGUGAACUUGGCAAAAGGACAAAAGAAUAUUUAAAUAAAACAACUGAAAUUGCCUAAAUAACCUUCAAAGCACAAUAAAUCACUACAAACAUAAAUCGUAUACACAUAAUACACCCCCCGGAAAGUUUACUCUAUGACUGAUUGACUGACUGACUGAUGUGAAUUUUCCCACUCAUCACAAUAGUGCACAGUUUCAAAGAAACUCUGCACUAAAAACUAAUUCUGAGCC